UACGUAGGGGGCAAGCGUUGUCCGGAAUCAUUGGGCGUAAAGAGCGUGUAGGCGGCCCGAUAAGUCCGUUGUGAAAUCCCUGGGCUCAACCCAGGAAAUGCUUCGGAUACUGGCGUGCUUGAGGCUAGUAGGGGUCACUGGAACUGACGGUGGAGCGGUGAAAUGCGUAGAUAUCGUCAGGAACGCCAAUGGUGAAGACAGGUGACUGGGCUAGAUCUGACACUGAGGCACGAAAGCGUGGGGAGCGAACAGG
rnacentral:rRNA from 1 species